UUAAAUGCCACAACUAAACGCCUCUUAAACACCUCCAGCAAUGGUGACUCCACCACCUCCCCGGGUAGCCUAUUCCAAAGCCUGACCACCUGAACAGUGAAACAUUUGUUUCUAGUAUCUAAUCUAAAUCUCCCAUC